GCUGGUAAUAAGUCUGGAUGCAAGUUGAUCAAAUUUGAUUGGAUUUCAAUCUAAUCGAUUGAGAUCCAAUCGAGCUAACUCAAGUUCAACAAUUAUAAUCUUUUCUAAUUGGCGAUCGAAUUAAACUAUUUAAUUCGAUCAAAAAUCUAUAAAUCAAGAUUGAUAUCUAGUAAUAUAUCAUAACUAUCCAGAAGAUAUAAAAUUUUGAUAAAAAUAUCAAAUAUAUCCUUCAG
rnacentral:lncRNA from 1 species